UCCGGUUUAACACCGGCAGUCUCGCUAGAGUGCUCAGCCGAACUGCUAGCAACUAACGAUAGGGGUUGCGCUCGUUGCGGGACUUAACCCAACACCUCACGACACGAGCUGACGACAGCCAUGCAGCACCUGUCUUCCGGUUCCCGAAGGCACUCUCCCCUUUCAGGGAGAUUCCGGAGAUGUCAAAUCCAGGUAAGGUUCUGCGCGUUGCUUCGAAUUAAACAACAUGCUCCACCGCUUGUGCGGGCCCCCGUCAAUUUCUUUGAGUUUUAGUCUUGCGACCGUACUUCCCAGGCGGAGUGCUUCAUGUGUUAACUUGGUCACCGCAGGGGUCAAUACCCACGACGACGAGCACUCACCGUUUACAGCGUGGACUAC
rnacentral:misc_RNA from 1 species